rnacentral:tRNA from 1 species
GCGGGCGUGGCGAAAUGGCAUACGCGCGGUCUUUAGGUGUCCGUGCUCGAAAGAGCGUGGGGGUUCGAGUCCCCCCGCCCGCACAA